rnacentral:rRNA from 1 species
GUCGAGCGGGCAGCAAUGUCAGCGGCAGACGGGUGCGUAACGCGUAUGCAACCUACCCCAGAUCGGGGAACAACCCUUCGAAAGAGGGGCUAAUACCGCGUAAGAUGGUAGACCGGCAUCGGUUAGCCAUUAAACUUUCGGGGAUCUGGGAUGGGCAUGCGUCUGAUUAGCUAGUUGGCGGGGUAAAAGCCCACCAAGGCGACGAUCAGUAGGGGAACUGAGAGGUUGAUCCCCCACACUGGCACUGAGAUACGGGCCAGACUCCUACGGGAGGCAGCAGUAGGGAAUAUUGGGCAAUGGUCGAAAGACUGACCCAGCCACGCCGCGUGCAGGAGGAAGGCCCUCUGGGUUGUAAACUGCUUUAGCAGGGGAAGAAAAGGCCGAUGCGUCGGACAUUGACGGUACCCUGAGAAUAAGCACCGGCUAACUACGUGCCAGCAGCCGCGGUAAUACGUAGGGUGCAAGCGUUGUCCGGAUUUAUUGGGUUUAAAGGGUGCGUAGGCGGCCUGCUAAGUCAGUGUUUAAAUUCUGCAGCUCAACUGUAGGUAUGGCAUUGAUACUGGCGGGCUUGAAUAUCAAAGAGGUAGCUGGAAUUUAUGGUGUAGCGGUGAAAUG